rnacentral:tRNA from 1 species
GCGGGGUUAGUAUAGUGGUAGUACAGGACUCUCCAAAAGUUCUAGCGUAGGUUCAAUUCCUACACCCCGUG